UACGUAGGGUGCAAGCGUUAAUCGGAAUUACUGGGCGUAAAGCGUGCGCAGGCGGUUUUGUAAGUCUGUCGUGAAAAGCCCCCGGGCUUAACCUGGGAAUGGCAAUGGAUACUGGCAGGCUAGAGUGCGGUAGAGGGUAGUGGAAUUCCCGGUGUAGCGGUGAAAUGCGUAGAGAUCGGGAGGAACACCAGUGGCGAAGGCGGCUACCUGGACCAGCACUGACACUGAGGCACGAAAGCGUGGGGAGCAAACAGG
rnacentral:rRNA from 1 species